GUUUAUUUUCCGACAAAUACUGCCAAGUCCCAUCUAGUAUCUAGUACUAUACUGCACCGCACUGUUUCGUCGUUGACAAAAUAAAAAGGAAAGAAACAAAUGGACAACAAAAUUCGACCUUUAUCAGUGUCAUUGCAUUCCAAUUUCUUCUCCUCACUAAAACAGGUUGAAAAGAGGUUAAAAUUAGACCAAACUUUACAACCAGCAAUAGAAUCUCAGAUACAUGAAAGCAUUUUGGGUUCUCCCAUCUUCCUUCAAUCUAGUGGUAGCCAGAAUUGUCCCUCACAAGAUAGCAGUGAACCUCCUCAAGCAUUCCUCUCAGUUUCCUAAGAAUUUCCAACAAUCCAUCAAGACCCUUCUCAUUUUUAAACAGAUCAUGUCACUCCAGCCAAUGAAGCUGAAGAUAAUGAUGAUGACAUUGAACAGUUAAUGCAGCUCAUGGGAUUAUAAGAGGUACAAGAACCAAGGGAUGAUGGUGAUUCAUGCCACUGUGAAGAUGGGUUUUAUGUAAAAAUUGUUGGUUUGUAAGGGCCAAAGUGUAGGAAGGAGGUGCUGAGGUUAGAUGGGUGGAUCAACCACUUUAUGAAUGGUGGUGGUGGGGAGGAGAAGCAAGAACCCUUGAGAUUGGCACACCUGCUUUUAGGGAAAGCUGCUUUUAAUUCUGAUGGUGCUUUUGGAGAAUUGGACUUCCCUUCAGGCAUUCAAGAAUUUCUUCAUACUGAUCCUCCCUGUAAUUAAGGCAACCCCCCACUUUCUUAUUAUUACUGUUUUAGCUUUGUUGUUUUAUUUUAUUACAUUCUUCUUUCUAAAUGUUAUAUCCAAAUGCAACUAUAUAGAAACUUUAGAGCCUUUAUGACUUAUAGAAAAGUUGGGAGAUUCUUUCAUCAUUGCCCUAGGAAUCUUGAGCAAUUAAUGUUACAUUGCAUUGUUGUGAA